UGGGGAAUAUUGCACAAUGGGCGCAAGCCUGAUGCAGCGACGCCGCGUGAGGGAUGACGGCCUUCGGGUUGUAAACCUCUGUUAGCAUCGAAGAAGCGAAAGUGACGGUAGGUGCAGAGAAAGCGCCGGCUAACUACGUGCCAGCAGCCGCGGUAAUACGUAGGGCGCGAGCGUUGUCCGGAAUUAUUGGGCGUAAAGAGCUUGUAGGCGGUUGGUCGCGUCUGCUGUGAAAGGCCGGGGCUUAACUCCGGUUUUGCAGUGGGUACGGGCUAACUAGAGUGCAGUAGGGGAGACUGGAAUUCCUGGUGUAGCGGUGGAAUGCACAGAUAUCAGGAGGAACACCGAUGGCGAAGGCAGGUCUCUGGGCUGUAACUGACGCUGAGAAGCGAAAGCAUGGGGAGCGAACAGGAUUAGAUACCCUGGUAGUCCAUGCCGUAAACGUUGGGCACUAGGUGUGGGGGACAUUCCACGUUUUCCGCGCCGUAGCUAACGCAUUAAGUGCCCCGCCUGGGGAGUACGGCCGCAAGGCU
rnacentral:rRNA from 1 species